ensembl:lncRNA
CGAGGUAACGUUAAUGAUCAAACUCCCAUAAGAUACAGUUACGCAGUAGUCGGCGGACAGAAUGCUGUGACCAGAGGCCCCGUCACCCUGACCUGACCUGACCUGACCUGCGUGUCCUGUAAAAGCGCUAGUUCAGGAUUCUUUAAUUCAGGGUCUCGUGGCUUUAUCGAGCAAAGCCACCACGGUAGGGACAUUGAGGCUAUUUACUAAGCACAAGUCACACAACUUAUACCCAUAGAAACGUGAGGAAGGACAGACCAAAUAUUUUCAAAAGGAAUCAUGAACAGAUUUAUCAGGUUCAUUACCAGCAAUAAAGUUCUCCUUUUCUCAAUUGAAAACAUGUAUCCACUCAUGGAAUAUGAUCCAUUUCUCAAAAGGGAGCUUUCAGACACUGUAUGUGUGCGUGCAUGUGUUUAUUUCUGUCAGUGUGUCUGUGUUCUGUUUUUUCUUGCAUCUGGAUAAUGUAAUUUUACUAAAAAAUGUUUCAACCAAUCUGAAUUUCAUUUGUGUUUCUUUCCAACGAAAUUUACAUCGCCUUUUCAUUUUGUUUUACAGAAGGACUUCAGGAAAAAUAUGAUGAUCUUCAAAAGAAAGUCGAAGAACUUCAGGAAAAAAUUGGUAAGCUUUCCCUGACAUUCCUUUGGUCCCCCCAAAAACCUUUAAAAUAACUGCUUUCCAAAUGUCGAACAUUUCCUGCCUUUUGGCUGAUUUGUCAUGCAUUGACUCACAUUUCUGCUGAAGGUCCACCGUUCUAACCUGAAUCGCUGCUUGUGGAUUUCUCCCAUAUUUCUUUCACCAUUGCUGUUUCACAGCCUAUGUAAAUUUUUAUAUCAUCCAUUUGUCAAGUGUAAAUGACACAGGUCAUUCUUUUGCUGCUUUGAAACUAUCACCCAAGUAUUUCCAGGCCUGCAAAUGUUUUACACGAUGUUUGAAAUUUCCAAUGAUAGGAAUGUUCCUUUAUGCUUUUCGUUUUUACUGACACAGUUAUCAGUUUGGCAACCUGCAAUUGUUUCAGUAUUUGUAGAAUGAUCUUACAUCUUAGAGAAGUUGAGUGGUGACACAUCUCCCUGUUCUGACUUUUUAAGGUGAAUGACAGGAGAGGCUUAUGCCCUGAAACAUUUUCAAAACUUGGCACUUUUUCAAAUUUCAAAAGUUUUUAUCAAAUAGUUCAUAUUAAUGUCUCCUUUGGUAAUGACACUUCCCAGUUAGGUUUUUGAUUUCCGAAGGAAUGGCAUUUAGGAAUAUCCCUUCAUGCCUGUAGCAGCCUUCAUGCAACUGCUGUGACACCAACAUCAUUUUGGACAAAUGGGUGCUUUCUUUCUCUUUGCUUUGCUAGAUUCUCUUCUCUUUUUUAAGUGAUGGUCACAUGCGGUUGGGUGUUUGCACUUUGCAAAUCACUGACAUCAAAUGAGCUAGAUUUGACGUGGUUAAAUUAGAAAUUUAAAAAGCAAGGUUACCUAAGCAUUUCUUCAGAACACUGCAUAAUCUCUGGAAGCAGUGGGUUCUUCAGUGUUCUCUAACUCCCUGCCUCUGGGUGCUGGAUACAGCACACCUACAGCAAUCAUGAGGGUUGAGGAGUUUUACGUAGCAGCAGCCGAGGAACGCUUGAAGUCCAUGAGACAGAUCAAUAAAGGUUGAAGUAACAUCCA